rnacentral:rRNA from 1 species
ACAUGCUGUGAGCUCGAUGAGUAGGGCGGGACACGUGGUAUCCUGUCUGAAUAUGGGGGGACCAUCCUCCAAGGCUAAAUACUCCUGACUGACCGAUAGUGAACCAGUACCGUGAGGGAAAGGCGAAAAGAACCCCGGCGAGGGGAGUGAAAAAGAACCUGAAACCGUGUACGUACAAGCAGUGGGAGCCUCUUUAUGGGGUGACUGCGUACCUUUUGUAUAAUGGGUCAGCGACUUAUAUUCUGUAGCAAGGUUAACCGAAUAGGGGAGCCGAAGGGAAACCGAGUCUUAACUGGGCGUUAAGUUGCAGGGUAUAGACCCGAAACCCGGUGAUCUAGCCAUGGGCAGGUUGAAGGUUGGGUAACACUAACUGGAGGACCGAACCGACUAAUGUUGAAAAAUUAGCGGAUGACUUGUGGCUGGGGGUGAAAGGCCAAUCAAACCGGGAGAUAGCUGGUUCUCCCCGAAAGCUAUUUAGGUAGCGCCUCGUGAACUCAUCUCCGGGGGUAGAGCACUGUUUCGGCAAGGGGGUCAUCCCGACUUACCAACCCGAUGCAAACUGCGAAUACCGGAGAAUGUUAUCACGGGAGACACACGGCGGGUGCUAACGUCCGUCGUGAAGAGGGAAACAACCCAGACCGCCAGCUAAGGUCCCAAAGUCAUGGUUAAGUGGGAAACGAUGUGGGAAGGCCCAGACAGCCAGGAUGUUGGCUUAGAAGCAGCCAUCAUUUAAAGAAAGCGUAAUAGCUCACUGGUCGAGUCGGCCUGCGCGGAAGAUGUAACGGGGCUAAACCAUGCACCGAAGCUGCGGCAGCGACGCUUAUGCGUUGUUGGGUAGGGGAGCGUUCUGUAAGCCUGUGAAGGUGUGCUGUGAGGCAUGCUGGAGGUAUCAGAAGUGCGAAUGCUGACAUAAGUAACGAUAAAGCGGGUGAAAAGCCCGCUCGCCGGAAGACCAAGGGUUCCUGUCCAACGUUAAUCGGGGCAGGGUGAGUCGACCCCUAAGGCGAGGCCGAAAGGCGUAGUCGAUGGGAAACAGGUUAAUAUUCCUGUACUUGGUGUUACUGCGAAGGGGGGACGGAGAAGGCUAUGUUGGCCGGGCGACGGUUGUCCCGGUUUAAGCGUGUAGGCUGGUUUUCCAGGCAAAUCCGGAAAAUCAAGGCUGAGGCGUGAUGACGAGGCACUACGGUGCUGAAGCAACAAAUGCCCUGCUUCCAGGAAAAGCCUCUAAGCAUCAGGUAACAUCAAAUCGUACCCCAAACCGACACAGGUGGUCAGGUAGAGAAUACCAAGGCGCUUGAGAGAACUCGGGUGAAGGAACUAGGCAAAAUGGUGCCGUAACUUCGGGAGAAGGCACGCUGAUAUGUAGGUGAAGUCCCUCGCGGAUGGAGCUGAAAUCAGUCGAAGAUACCAGCUGGCUGCAACUGUUUAUUAAAAACACAGCACUGUGCAAACACGAAAGUGGACGUAUACGGUGUGACGCCUGCCCGGUGCCGGAAGGUUAAUUGAUGGGGUCAGCGCAAGCGAAGCUCUUGAUCGAAGCCCCGGUAAACGGCGGCCGUAACUAUAACGGUCCUAAGGUAGCGAAAUUCCUUGUCGGGUAAGUUCCGACCUGCACGAAUGGCGUAAUGAUGGCCAGGCUGUCUCCACCCGAGACUCAGUGAAAUUGAACUCGCUGUGAAGAUGCAGUGUACCCGCGGCAAGACGGAAAGACCCCGUGAACCUUUACUAUAGCUUGACACUGAACAUUGAGCCUUGAUGUGUAGGAUAGGUGGGAGGCUUGGAAGUGUGGACGCCAGUCUGCAUGGAGCCGACCUUGAAAUACCACCCUU